AACGCAAACGAUCAGGGUGACCAGGGUUGCUCAGGUUGGUUCUGAAGGUUGAGUGUUGCCCAUGUGCUCAUUCACCUUUGAAAUUUACAGGCGGGCGGCUUCAUGUCCUUUAUCAGCGUUAUAGGUAAACUCUUUCGCUAGGACUUGGUAGUCUGUCCUGCCUCAAAACCCCCCAUUUACCACA
rnacentral:misc_RNA from 1 species